UACGUAGGGUGCGAGCGUUGUCCGGAAUUAUUGGGCGUAAAGGGCUCGUAGGCGGUUUGUCGCGUCGGGAGUGAAAACCCAGGGCUUAACUCUGGGCUUGCUUUCGAUACGGGCAGACUAGAGGUAUGCAGGGGAGAACGGAAUUCCUGGUGUAGCGGUGAAAUGCGCAGAUAUCGGGAGGAACACCGGUGGCGAAGGCGGUUCUCUGGGCAUGACCUGACGCUGAGGAGCGAAAGUGUGGGGAGCGAACAGG
rnacentral:rRNA from 1 species